rnacentral:rRNA from 1 species
AGUUUGAUCCUGGCUCAGAUUGAACGCUGGCGGCAGGCCUAACACAUGCAUGUCGAGCGGUUGACGGGAGCUUGCUCCCUGAUUCAGCGGCGGACGGGUGAGUAAUGCCUAGGAAUCUGCCUAUUAGUGGGGGACAACGUUUCGAAAGGAACGCUAAUACCGCAUACGUCCUACGGGUGAAAGCAGGGGAUCUUCGGACCUUGCGCGAUUGAAUGAGCCGAUGUCGGAUUAGCUAGUUGGCGGGGUAAAGGCCCACCAAGGCGACGAUCCGUAGCUGGUCUGAGAGGAUGAUCAGCCACACUGGAACUGAGACACGGUCCAGACUCCUACGGGAGGCAGCAGUGGGGAAUAUUGGACAAUGGGCGCAAGCCUGAUCCAGCCAUGCCGCGUGGGUGAAGAAGGCCUUCGGGUUGUAAAGCCCUUUUGUUGGGAAAGAAAAGCAGUCGGUUAAUACCCGAUUGUUCUGACGGUACCCAAAGAAUAAGCACCGGCUAACUUCGUGCCAGCAGCCGCGGUAA